UUCGGCGGCCAUAGCGAGAGGGAAACGCCCGGUCACAUUCCGAACCCGGAAGCUAAGACUCUC
rnacentral:rRNA from 1 species